CAGAUUGAACGCUGGCGGCAGGCCUAACACAUGCAAGUCGAGCGGAUGAAGGGAGCUUGCUCCUGGAUUCAGCGGCGGACGGGUGAGUAAUGCCUAGGAAUCUGCCUGGUAGUGGGGGAUAACGUCCGGAAACGGGCGCUAAUACCGCAUACGUCCUGAGGGAGAAAGUGGGGGAUCUUCGGACCUCACGCUAUCAGAUGAGCCUAGGUCGGAUUAGCUAGUUGGUGGGGUAAAGGCCUACCAAGGCGACGAUCCGUAACUGGUCUGAGAGGAUGAUCAGUCACACUGGAACUGAGACACGGUCCAGACUCCUACGGGAGGCAGCAGUGGGGAAUAUUGGACAAUGGGCGAAAGCCUGAUCCAGCCAUGCCGCGUGUGUGAAGAAGGUCUUCGGAUUGUAAAGCACUUUAAGUUGGGAGGAAGGGCAGUAAGUUAAUACCUUGCUGUUUUGACGUUACCAACAGAAUAAGCACCGGCUAACUUCGUGCCAGCAGCCGCGGUAAUACGAAGGGUGCAAGCGUUAAUCGGAAUUACUGGGCGUA
rnacentral:rRNA from 1 species